UACGUAGGUGGCAAGCGUUGUCCGGAUUUACUGGGCGUAAAGAGCGCGCAGGCGGUCGUUCAAGUCGCGUGUGAAAGCCCCCGGCUCAACUGGGGAGGGUCACGCGAUACUGAUCGACUCGAAGGCAGGAGAGGGUAGUGGAAUUCCCGGUGUAGUGGUGAAAUGCGUAGAUAUCGGGAGGAACACCAGUGGCGAAGGCGACUACCUGGCCUGUUCUGACGCUGAGGCGCGAAAGCCAGGGGAGCAAACGGG
rnacentral:rRNA from 1 species